rnacentral:snoRNA from 1 species
GUCCAUGAAUCCGUGGGACCUGCCGCCUGUGGCAGUCUCCCUUCCUAGCCAUGGAAGAGCAGCGUCUCGCUUUUGGCAUAGCUGGCUCCCCUCUGAUUGGAGUCAGGCUCUGACUGGAGCGAGG